GCAGUAAGGUGCUGCUCUGUCAAACUCACCCCUCGGAAACUCCUCUCCAAAAUCAGACAUUUAAUAUACUUGUCUCUAACUGUGCUCCUACUUAGUGAGAUGUUUUGUUGUUUUGUGGAAGCCAGUGCUCACCAACAGCCCCAUGCUUUUCUUCCCAAACCUGUGCUGUCUGCUUGUUCUCUGCAGUGACAAUCCUGUAUUGGAAAUAACUUGAGGAAUAUCUGGGAGCAGUGAAGCCUUCAAAGGAAAAUUCUUGGGAAGCUGGAAUUACAGUGGGAUGGAAAAUAUAAUCUUUCUCACUUCAGAUGAACUUCUGCCUUCCUUGAGAUUCCUGUGAAUUUCAGAGCCUUUGAUGGCCACGAAACAUCAGAGGAGCCUUUACUCUAAGUAAAACCUAUGUGAAAGUAGCACUGCUCCUGUUCCCACAAGGAGAUGCUGUGCGUCCUGCUUCUGUCAUCCUCUCAGCUGAUGCAGUCCAACUGCAUUUGUCUGGGAGGUCGUGGCUGUGCCCUGAAUGCUGUGUAGAGCAUUGCAGAAGCAAGACAUUGUAGGAACGGGUCAGGGGCCACUCCAGUUGCUCUCCUGAAGGGAGAAGUCUGAGGUCAGAGGGCACAGGUGGCAGGCAUAGAGGCAGCCCUGGAUCAGGGCGAUGACAGGUUAGCAAAAAGGAUGGCACAACCAUCUGCACAAGGUAGAGAGGCCACUCCAUACUGCAUAGGUACAGCACAUAUGAUAGGGCAGGCAAUUUCCUCUCCCCAGUGGAAACUGCAGCAGGAGACUAUGCAGAAAGGCCAUCAAGGGCUACAGGGUUAGAAGAAUGCUCCAGCAGGCCCCUCCUGAAGGGAGGCACUGAUCCAUAUAAGAACACUGUGGGUGUCCCACAGUGAAAUCACUCCAAAACCAUUAGAGUACAGCAUCUGAGCAAGCAGAGGAGGAGACAGGAAAAUCAAGAGCAGACAUCCCAAGGUGGAUAUUUUCCAUGUGGGCAAUGUGGAGAAGCAGGCCUUGGUGUGGGCACCUCCAGAGCAUUCCACAGAUGCAAAUCACCUAGUGACAGGUCCUGACUGGGAGAAGGCUGGAGGGCCCGGGAGCUGUCUUGCUGCUGCAGGGUGGCUGCAAGUGAUCCGCAGCCAGCAGCACAGAGAACUGCAGGUCAGGAAUUGUGCAAUCCUUGUGGUAGCAUUGUUGGUUGACGCCUCAUCUCUCAUAAAUGUGGGCUUAUUUGACCCUCCCACCCAAACAAUUCACACCCAGGUGUAUCUGACCAAGAGCGUUUGAGCUCUCCAUGCUUCUCUCAUUCUUCACUGUGUCCUGUUACCUCCCAUUCCUCAGGCUUCCCAUCUUGAUUUAUUUCCCUCUGCCCCUCCUGCUGACACUUUGUACAGCGUUGCCUCCCAGGAGCUAGUUUGCCUUCUGCCUUGCUCUAGCAUACUUCCCAACUGUAACUGCAGUUCUUCUGUCCAACAGAUAGCUGUGCUUUCCUGAAACAAGCUGAAGACGUGUUGGACCGGGCUUGGAGCACUGCAGCAUAUUCCAUGGAGAGAGAACCUUACUUUUUCUGCUGGUGUGGUAUUGAGAAGGGAAUUCCUCUUGAUGUGAAUGGAGAGCAGUUUUUGAACGUAUACUUUGGCACAAAAUAUACUGACUUUCUGCAGGGAUGUGCUGAACCAUGCAGCAGGAAAAGAGGAAUCCAAGCUGAGCAAAGCUGAGAGAAAAUAAAAUCAACUACAGAAGGUAAAAUGUCAGCCACCUUCCCCUUUGAAUUCUGCAAGACAUAACAGCUGAAGAGGUAAGAGCAGAUAACCAGAAAACAUGCAUCAGAGAAGCCUUUUUUGAGAACCAUUGGGUCUGCCAAGUGGUCUGGGCAGAAAAGCAGUAGCCUCGAAAGACACAUCUUUUAAAGAAGCUGAAUGAUUUUGGGACAUUGGUCUUCACUGCAGACUAAGGUAGAGAGAGAGAUGCCAUCCCACGAUGCUACUCUCUAGCAGUUAAAACUGAGGAACUGUUGGGCUUGAGGUAACCAGACACCCGCAUGCCACCUGAACGCCACUGGCUUCCCUACAGAAAGGUUUGCUGCCUUUUCAGAACAGUCUCUCAUGGGAUUCUUCAUUAGUUCCUGAAUCCCAAGCAGAGGCUUAUUGCCUGGUCUGCGUGAUAGUUUCUGGAUGUUUUCCAAUGGGUUUGUAAGUAAAACUAUGCUUAAAAUAGUGGAUCUCUUUGUUUGGAAGGAAAAAUGAAGCCCUUUUUUUUUUUUUUUUUAAAUCUCAUUUCCUUUCUUGUAACAUACAAAUAAAGAGGUUUUAAAACCAAU
ensembl:lncRNA